rnacentral:rRNA from 1 species
GACGAACGCUGGCGGCGUGCUUAACACAUGCAAGUCGAACGGAGAGGCCCUGCGUUUGUUGGGUGCUCGAGUGGCGAACAGGGGUGUAUCACGUGAGUAACCUGCCCCUGACUUUGGGGUAACUUCAUGAAACUCGGUCGAUUACCGGAUAUGAGCUUCUGCUGCACGGGGGGUGUAGGAAAGUGUCGGCGGUUGGGGAUGGACUCGCGGAUUAUCGUCGUGUUGGUGGGUUAGUGGAGUACCAAGGCUUUGACGGGUAGCUGGACUGAGAGGGUGACCGGCCACAGUGGGACUGAGGUGGGGCCCAGACUCCUACGGGAGGCAGGGGUGGGAAAUAUUGCAAGAUGGGCGGAAGCAGGAUGCAGCAACGCCGCGUGCGGGAUGACGGCUUUAGGUUUGUAACCCGCUUUAGCCUGUAACGAAGCGUGAGUGACGGUAAUGGGUAAAGAAGCACCGGCUAACUACGUG